AAUCUGGUUUCUUGUGCAAUUAGUCUGUGCCAUUAUCGUCCCAUGAUUGUCACCGGUUCUAUCCUGCAUAAAAACUCUUUAGAUUAGUGAGCAAAGAAAAUUUUAGGGUUAGCUGUCCGCAAGAUUGAAUCUCAGUGUCACUGAGUUGGGAAAAUCGGUCUUAUCGAUUUUGGUUUUAGGGUUACUAAUAAUAUUCUCGGUGGAACCGAGUUCACCUUUUCGGUGCCAAGUUUCUAUUAAAGAGAACACGUGUCUCAGUGGCUCUGGAAUUUCUGACUCGGUGAACCGAAAUCCUAUUUUGCUGAAAGUUAAAACUAAAUUAUUCAGAAUUCAAAUUUGCAAAACUUUUGCAAUUUUUUGAUGCUUAUCCUUUCAAGCUCAUCUUUAUCUUUUCACACGGUCAUCUUGUAUGCCAGUCUGCCAGUCUGCUUGUCUACUUGGUCUUGCAAGAUGUCAGGUUCAGAGGAUAGUCAGAACAACUUCAGUGAGCCUCAAUAUGAAACUGACUCAGGCACUAGUCCUGAGAGGACCCCUUCUGACCCUAGUACUCCUAGAUCCCAUGGCAUGCCCAAGGCAGCUACCAGGUCGAAAAGGAAGAUCAAUCAUGAUGAAGAAGAUGUUGAUUUCAUCUGAGGAAUCUGCUCCCCAGAAGAAGAAGGAGAAGACCAUAGUCAGAAAGACUGUGAGGAAGGAGUAUUCUAAACUUUAAGUCGCUAGAGCUCCAGAGGCUAGGCUUGACAAGAAACCAGGAGUGAAGAGAGCCCGGAAGAGAACUAUUCAUGUCAUUGGUAGGCAAACCUCUAUGUAUAAAGAUCCAACAGAAGCUGAUGAUGAGGAAGGAAUUCCAACUGAGGUCCCUCCUCCAAAGAAGACAAAGUUGAUGGCUGAUGCUAUAACAAACAAGCCUUCUGCUCCCAAGAAGUAUUCUGCUCCUAAGAAGCAUGUAGCUCCCAAGAGGACUACAAAGGAUAUUCCUCCAACUCAGAAAAAAGGCUCUGCGUCCAGAGAUUUUGCUGCUGAGGAAGAUGAGGAUUCUCAUGUUCUUAUGAAGUUGAGACCUCAUCUUCCAACUCAUGAUGCAUCUCACCUAGUUGUUGAGGACAUGAAGAAGAGGAAAGAUGUAGGACUGAGGAAGUGGAGAUCUAUUGACCCGUAUGCUGUGUGAAGGAGAACUGUUGUUGAUCCCCUCUUUCACACAAGGGAAUGACAAGAUUUCUACGAGAUAGUCUUGCUCGAUAAGAAUCCUGCAUUCAGCGACAUGAGAUAUGUCGAUUGGGAAUAAAUCAAGGUCAAUGAAGACUAUUUUACUCAUGUGAGAGAACAUUUCACAAUGGUUAACAUUGAAAAUUUUGUUGGCAAAGAGAUGACUGCAAGUAAUGUUCAGAUGAUCAUGCAAUUCUAUUCCAUCGCUCAUUUCUAUCUAGAUGGAAGAAUUGUUUGGAUGAGUGAGGGUCACCGGUAUGAGUCUACAGUUGAUGAAUGAGCCACUAUCAUUGGUUCUCCUAAAGCAUGAGAAGAGGACUUGGAUGUGUAUUCACAGCUCAAGAUUAAUCACAACUCCAUGGCCAACAUGUACAAGCCCGUGCCCAAUGUUUACCUGCUAUCUCACAAGCUUGGCUCUAUCUAUUUCUUGCAAUCAGGAAUACCCACUACAAAUACUAUCAUGAGACAUACUCUGGCGCCCAAGUUAGGUGAUGAUAAGAUGAUUAGAGGUUAUUCCAUCAACAUGAUGCACCAUCCAAACACCCACACCCCGUUCCGAGUGAUGGACUUGAUAGUUGAGACCAUCAAGAGGAUUGUUGCAGAUCAGAAGAGAUCUUGUCGAUAUGAUCCAUACAUUCAGAUGAUCAUCAAUGCCAAGAUUGGCAAGCAAGCAUAUCAACUUGAUCGUCCCCACCUUCCACUCCAGCCUGAUUUUCAGGAGAAUGUAGUUGUGAUGGAUGAUACCCAUUCCAGCUCAGCUACUGCUAGAGAGGCAGCAGAGGCAUCAACUGCAGAGGCUGCUAGGAAUGCUCCACUUCAACCCCCACAGCUCAAAACCACAGAUGCGCAUAUGUCCUUCUUGGUUAGGACCAUCCAAGGGAUGGAGAAGAAAGUUUUUGAGACCUUGCUGAACCAGAAGAGCCUAGAGAGGAUCGUGGAGACAAAAUUCCAUGACUUGGAUGUCAAGGUGUCGGAGUUGACCACCACUUUUCGGCAACUUCAGCAUGAAGUUGACUCAGUGAAGAUUCCAUGCUCCAACAGUGAUGAUGAUGAUGACAAUUCACCUCUUCCUACUACCACCCAGUUCAGGACUCACACUAGGUCAGCAGCUCUACCAGUAUCGGAAGCAAGACAAUCUUCGUCAGCUCAAGCUUUAGCUCCUACUCCUCCACCUCCAGUGUCUACACCUCCAGCUCAACCGACAUCUGCAGAAUCCUUCAUCGAUGCUCUCUUGUCCACUCCAUCUUCAUCUACCGGAGGAGAUCGUGCCCAGAGAGACGCUUAGUUCUAGACCUUUGAACUUUUUGGUAACUUGUUGCCAAAAGGGGAGAAAUGUAUACAUCAAAUAGGGCUUCGAGGGGGAGAGCUUUGCAUUUUAUUUGCUCUCGUUUGUUUUUUCAAAUUUUUUGGUAUUUUGGAUGACUUUAUCCAUUUAGAGGUGCGUUUGAUCAUACGCUUUGGUUGUUUGAUGCUACCAUGUUAUUACUUUUGAGCUAUCUACAUGUUGAUCAUUCACUUCUUGUUUGGUGUAAUGUGCAUUACUUUUCAUUCAUAUCAUUUAUGUGCACCACCAAGUUGUAUGUAACAUGAAAGAGUAAUCCAUGAUCCUAAUCGAUUGUGCAUUCAAGCACAAAUUUAAAAUAAUGCACAAAUUUAGGGGUGAUCUUACUUUUCACAUACUUCUCAAAGCAUCGAUGCUAAUCACUAAUUAUAUCUUUUGUUGAAGCUUUGAUCUAUAUGUUGUCAUCAAUUAUCAAAAAGGGGAAGAUUGAAAGCACAAUUGCUCCCUAAGGUGGUUUUGGUAAUCAAUCACAACGUAUGCAUCAUUGGACUAAUGAGUUUAUUCAAGUAUAUUUCAGAAAAGUUCAUAGAUGCUUUGGCUAUAGGAUUGUGAGGAGAUGCCCUUUGAUGAAAAAAGAAGGCCCUUCAUUUUAUACCUUGUGAGAAAUUACUUUGAGUUCAUAGGAAAGCCAAUACUAAGGGCAUGAUGUAUUAUAAUGAAUUGGUUUCUCGAGUGCUUAGAAGUAGCCACCAAAAAUACUCAGCCACUCUCUCACAAAAUAUCUCUCUUCAAAUCCAUAUCAGCAAAAUCAGUGCCACCAACAAUUUCCAUUCGGCCCUACCGAUUUUAAACUUGACAGAACCUAUGCCAAAUCCCACCAUCUCGGUACCACCAACUUUCCUAUCGGUGCCACCGAGAUUCAGUGACCAACUUUCUAUUGAGAAGAUUUCAAGAAUCGGAAUUUCCGAGUUUGAAAUCGGUCUCACCGAGAUUUGGAAAUUGGUCUAGGUCAUCAUAUGGGUACCACCGAGAUUCCUAUAUCGGUCUUACCAAAAAUUCUGAAGUUGCCACAUUUAAUGCAACUCGGUACCACCGAGAUUCAUUUCAGUGUCACCAAAUUGGAUAAUAAUGUUGUAAUAGGAGGUUCAGAACCAGGGACAACACAAAAAGGAAUAACACCAACAGAGAAAACAAAGUAACUUACAACCCAGUCCAUUCAUUAUUCAUCGACCCUUAUCUCUACACUCGCCUGUGCAAGGAAGAGUCGUUGUCCAUGAGACAACGGGCAUGAGAAUCACCAUCGCCAAUCCAUGGCUUUGUGAGCCACAUCUAUGUCCCGCCCCAAAAGACAGGAACCGGGGAGGGUUUCGGUGGAUUGGCCCGGGGUAGACCGAGUGAUCCCCUAUCCUCGAAGCCGCCACCAACGCCAGCCUACUAUGGAGUGGAGCAACAGCUCAAUCCACUUCGCCCAUCAUAAUCUGCAGCAGUUGGUCGUCCGCGGCAAUUGGAUCUGGGGAUAUCCCUCCACAAAUCCCAACUCCUGUAUUGUUGUACGCCCCCAUCAGCUAUCACCGACCAAACCUUGCCGUAUCAGAGAGAGACCAACCUCCCUAACCAUGCAGCACCACCAGAGAGAGCACCGCCAUGACGGGGAAGGAGCCAGAGGAACCUUCUUCCACAGCGUCAACAUCGCCAACCGUGUUGCGGCCGUACACGGUCUUGCACCCUCCCAAUGCCCGACGGCUAUCGGAGGCGAGGGACGCCAGCGGAGGCGAACCGCCGGGAAACCCCCUCUUGCAUCGACAGAGAGACCGAGAGAUUUCCACCGCGUGUAAUGCCGUUACUGGAAGCUUCUGCUUCUUUUGUGAGAGAAAUAGAAACAGGUAGUUCGUCCAACAUGCGGGGUCCUCUCACUCUCAGUCGUCCGUUUGGGAUCAGGCGAUACAAAUGCCACAAAGGCACACACAUCAUCAUCAUCAACUUGUUUUUUUUUAUGAAAAUAGAUACCCAUAAACCAUGAAGUAAGAAGAAGUUGUUGUAUAAUAUGUAAAUGCCUUUUUAUUGUUAUAAACUUCAUGUUGUAUAAAUAGUAUAGAGUGGCAAGUUAUUUGGUGAAGUUGUAUAUAUGUGUUGUUUUGAACAUGUCAACUGACCCUAGCCGGACUUCAUGGCGAGGGUCGACCUUAUUAUCGUUUUAUAAUCGAGUGAAUUCUAGUUUUUACCUUGUAUUUGUACAUAUGUAACACAUAUUACCCCAUUUAGUGGGACUUGUAUCGAAAUAUCAUAUUUUGAACACUUUUAACAAGAUUUU
rnacentral:lncRNA from 1 species